GGUUACAUGAUGGCUUCUCAUUCAGAAUGAAAUGAAUCUGAAUGAAAUCAUUCGGAAUUAAAGUGUUUCCAGGUAGUUUACAUGGGAAAUAUUAAUUCCGAAUGAGGGUUUACAUGGGAGAUCAGUUCAAUCGCCUUUAUUCAGGUCUGCGCAAGGUUUGGGGCAGGGAAGGUUUCUGAUUGGAUAGGGGGCGGGGCGGAUGUUACGUGUUUACGUUUACCGGAAGAAAACACUGUAGUCCUCGCUCCGGAUAACAAGAUGCUUGACGAUGCCGUUCUUAGUGCCUUUUUCGGGCGUGUUUUGCUUAUAUUCUUAAAGCAGCAGUACGACAACAACCUUGUUCUGCUAAUGCUUCAUCUGUUGAGCAGGAGAAGGGAGGCAGAAGACCGUGCUGUGGCGAAUGGAAACCGGUGACUGCAACGAGUCCGACUGCUCUAGCUCAGCCCGUUGCUAUGCAGCCGUUGCUAUGCGCGCUAUAUACGUCAUCGCACCAGAAGGGCAAGGAAACGAGCAUGCGCAGAAAGACCGGAAUGAACUUAAAGAGGAAUGAGUGUAUACAUGCACACAAAAUUCUUUCAUUCGGAAUGACAAACGGAAUAAACCACCCCCUUUAAUCGGAUUUAAUUUUCAAUCGGAAUGACCAUUUUUCAAUCGGAAUGACCGUUUACAUGACCACUUUUAAUCGGAAUGGCCGUUCAUUCCGAUUAAAAGUGGAAUUAAACUGUCCAUGUAAACGUACUGAGUGUCACAACAUUAACAGCUGUACACAGUUAAGUGCUUUAGUUCACAUUAGUUCAUGUUGACUGAAUGCCAUGGUGCUGCUGACUGUUCUCACAAAUAUGCUUUGUACAGAUGCAGUAUGGACUCAUGUCAUCGCCAGCCUCGUGCCCAAAUAUGGUCACCUCUAGCUCCAAAAAACCAUGAUGGCGACGGUCAAAACAACACUCCACAAACCAAUGGGCUGCACUGAUCUGACCAUCUGGAUUUCAGGGUGAGAGACAAUCUCAGCUGUGAUCCCUCCCAACAGGGGUAACACCACUGGAUGAGGGUGCUGCUGAGAGAUGAGAUGUGUCCAUCCCCAGCUGGAAGGAUUUUCCUGGAUGGCACAGUAUUUUAAAAGUGGCGCUCAACACCCCCCCGUCCCCUCUCUCCAAACCCAUCUGGCCCAAGCCUGUCACCAGCAAUACAUCACGUUAAUGAAAUGGCAGCAGCCCAAUGCUAUCUGUCAUAAGCAAUCUGCAUCUGCUGAGGAACUGAACGGAAAUGAGGAAGAGGGAUAAAAGUCAGAGGAAGGCACAGAGACUUUGUGUCCCCCAAGCAGGUGCCAUGUUUGUGUGUGUGUGAGUAUGAAUGUGUGCAUUUGUGUGUUUCCUCAGUCUCUCCUUUCAGCGCAGUGUGAAAAAUAUUGAUUUUAUUUUGAGAGAAGAAAAUAGCCACAGCAGGCCACCAUAUCUCUCAUCUCUACUGGACCAAAUAGGUGAGGAUAUUUAAUCGGUUUUGCGGUAGAACAAAGUUCCAAUGCAUCUUAUCUGUCAGAGAGAAAAUGACUCACUGCACCUUGUCUUGGCACUUGGGGCAACUUGUAUUGAUAUCUGUCUCAGCUUCACAAACUGUGAAAUUUCACACAAAUGAUAAACUACACAUGGGUUGUGAAA